GACGAACGCUGGCGGCGUGCUUAACACAUGCAAGUCGAACGGAAAGGCCCUGCUUUUGUGGGGUGCUCGAGUGGCGAACGGGUGAGUAACACGUGAGUAACCUGCCCUUGACUUUGGGAUAACUUCAGGAAACUGGGGCUAAUACCGGAUAGGAGCUCCUGCUGCAUGGUGGGGGUUGGAAAGUUUCGGCGGUUGGGGAUGGACUCGCGGCUUAUCAGCUUGUUGGUGGGGUAGUGGCUUACCAAGGCUUUGACGGGUAGCCGGCCUGAGAGGGUGACCGGCACCAUGGGGACUGGGAUACGGCCAAGACUCCUCCGGGAGGAAGAAGGGGGGAUUAUGGAACAAGGGGCGAAGGCUGGAUGAAGAAACGCGGCGGGGGGGAGGACGGCCUUCGGGUUGUAAACCGCUUUCGCCUGUGACGAAGGGUGAGUGAGGGUAAUGGGUAAAGAAGAACCGGCUAACUACGU
rnacentral:rRNA from 1 species